UAGCUCAGUUCGUAGAGCGCUCCACCGGAAAUGAAGAGGUCCCGGGUUCGAUACCCGG
rnacentral:tRNA from 1 species